rnacentral:rRNA from 1 species
AUUGAACGCUGGCGGCAUGCCUUACACAUGCAAGUCGAGCGGUAACACAGGGAGCUUGCUCUCGGGUGACGAGCGGCGGACGGGUGAGUAAUGUCUGGGAAACUGCCUGAUGGAGGGGGAUAACUACUGGAAACGGUAGCUAAUACCGCAUAACGUCGCAAGACCAAAGAGGGGGACCUUCGGGCCUCUUGCCAUCAGAUGUGCCCGGAUGGGAUUAGCUAGUAGGUGGGGUAACGGCUCACCUAGGCGACGAUCCCUAGCUGGUCUGAGAGGAUGACCAGCCACACUGGAACUGAGACACGGUCCAGACUCCUACGGGAGGCAGCAGUGGGGAAUAUUGCACAAUGGGCGCAAGCCUGAUGCAGCCAUGCCGCGUGUAUGAAGAAGGCCUUCGGGUUGUAAAGUACUUUCAGCGGGGAGGAAGGCGGUAAGGUUAAUAACCUUGUCGAUUGACGUUACCCGCAGAAGAAGCACCGGCUAACUCCGUGCCAGCAGCCGCCGUAAUAC